rnacentral:rRNA from 1 species
UACGUAGGGGGCUAGCGUUGUCCGGAAUCAUUGGGCGUAAAGCGCGUGUAGGCGGUCCGGUAAGUCCGCUGUGAAAGUCGGGGGCUCAACCCUCGGAUGCCGGUGGAUACUGUCGGGCUUGAGUACGGAAGAGGCGAGUGGAAUUCCUGGUGUAGCGGUGAAAUGCGCAGAUAUCAGGAGGAACACCAAUGGCGAAGGAAGCUCGCUGGGACGUUACUGACGCUGAGACGCGAAAGCGUGGGGAGCGAACAGG